rnacentral:misc_RNA from 1 species
AAAGUCGUAACAAGGUAACCGUAGGUGAACCUGCGGUUGGAUCAUUAACAAUCCUAGACCCUCGGGUCUUUAACCCCUUGUGCAUCUAUUAACGUAUCUGGGUGUCGAGUGCUAGUAAUAGUACUAGGCGCCCAAACUUAUAAACCUUACUAUUUGUCUGAAUUUUUAUUAUAUAAAAAAAACAACUUUUGACAACGGAUCUCUUGGCUCUC